AGAAAUACCCCGGUGAAGUUUGUCGUAUGGCUGGAAUCAGCGUCUGAAAUGCGCUUACUACGCACAUGGCAAGACGACGUUCAGAAGAUGUCAGCUGUACAACUUUGAAAUCGGAAAAAUCAAGAUGUGCAUGAUACCAACAAGAAUGUGAACUUUUCAAAGAGCAUGAUAUUUCCAAGUUUUCUACAUCUUUAGAGCAACCACCACAAAUGUACUUGCAAGUACCCACAGAUGACAGCCAUAUUGACUCCAGCGGAUAAUAUUUACCUCCAUCAGCUGCUUACUACACUGUACAUAGUGGUCAA